rnacentral:rRNA from 1 species
AUUGAACGCUGGCGGCAGGCUUAACACUUGCAAGUCGAGCGAGCGGCGGACGGGUGAGUAAUGUCUGGGAAACUGCCUGAUGGAGGGGGAUAACUACUGGAAACGGUAGCUAAUACCGCAUACCAUCAGAUGUGCCCAGAUGGGAGUAGCUAGUAGGUGGGGUAAUGGCUAACCUAGGCGACGAUCACUAGCUGGUCUGAGAGGAUGACCAGCCACACUGGAACUGAGACACGGUCCAGACUCCUACGGGAGGCCGCAGUGGGGAAUAUUGCACAAUGGGCGCAAGCCUGAUGCAGACAUGCCGCGUGUGGGAAGAAGGCAUGCGGGUUGUAAAGCACUUUCAGCGAGGAGGCGGUACUCGCAGAAGAAGCACUGGCUAACUCCGUGACAGCAGCCGCGGUAAUUC